ensembl:miRNA
CCCUGUAUUGCUGAUUACCUUGUGGUCUUCCUGUUAGGUAAUCAACAAUCCAGGACA